GUUUACCAGUCCCAGUCUCUAUGGGAUUGUUUCAACAUUGGGCACACACCUCAACAACUAGUAACGGGGUGUGAGACUCACAGGAGCUCAUAGAAACAGAAGCAGCAAUCAUGGAGCCUGCAUGGAAAUGGCAGCGAAACGUAUACCUGACUUUCUGCCCUUGGAGACAUACAAAUUGCUGUGUCCUUGAAGCUUGUCAUGGAAAUAAAGCCUGAAGCUCUGUUUGGGAAGUGCUCUCUCACAGUGCUGGAGCCAUCUGGACAGGCAAUGAGGAGUUAAAGAACCAAGCACAGCUGGUAAUGUGAUCUUCAGAGGUUCUGAAACUCUAAGAGGUAGGACCUUGCUGGAGGAAGCAGGCCACUACAGAUGGACUCUUGGGACAUCUUGUCACUGGUGCCCUCAUUCUGUUUCCUGUUCACCCAAAGGUAAACAUCUUCUGCCACAUGCUCCCACCACCAUGACAUCCUGUGUCACCACAGGCCCAGAAAUAACAGAGUUGACCAUGAUGGAUAAAACCAUGAGCCAAAAUAAAUGAUCUCUCCCUUAA